rnacentral:lncRNA from 11 species
UGUAAUUUGUAAAUAUAAGGGCCCAUGAGAAAUGUAUGUAGUUGCUGUGAUUUUUGGAAUUUUAAAUGUAUUUCUUAGCUUUCCUAUUUCACAAGAACAAAAAUACUAAUGUGUACCAUGAGCUGCAGUUUAUAAAUUCCAAUUCUCCCAAACAGUGGUGGUGCCUUACUAAAUUAAAAAUUCCAGGAUUCCAUAGCAUUGAGCUAUGGCAAUUAAAGUGGUAUUCAAAUUGCAUUAAUUCUACAGUAUAAUUGCAUCCUAGUAUACUAUAAGCCCAGAAUAAGUUAUUUACUCCACUUUGUCCACUGUAUUACAUAUAGCAGUAUUAACUUGAGGAAAUUGCUGCAGCCUUCCUUUUUUUCUGUGGUCAUAUUUAGAUCCAAUUUUUCCAACAUACAUUUGCUCUUCUUGUUUAUUUACUUAAUUCUAUCAAGGCAAAUUGUAACUAUCUAUCUAACCCUUGCAGUGACCAACUGGUGACCAACCUUGUGGCAACAAUUUUCUCUGUACUUUGUGACACCUGCAAGCUUACAUCUGGAUUGCCUCUAUAGUAAAACUUGAAGGAAUAAUGUUGAUGCUCUUGUGUAACACGUUACACAGAAACCCAGUUAGAAGUGGUGAGGACAUCUUUUUCCUCAUGUACAAUUCUAUCAGGACGCCUCACCACAUGACAAAUCCCACGAUUACAUAGUAUUGAGCCAUGGCAGUAAUACAUGCUAUGCUAGUGAACAGCAGUAUUAAUUAUAAUAAUUUCCUGAUUUCUCAAUAUUCACUCCGCCCACUGGGGCUAGCAUAAGAACCUUUUAAACACUCAUGAGACCAGAACUGAACAGAGUUUGCAGAGAAAACAUCAAGCAUCAGCAAAAGGAUAAAGGGAGAAAAGCAAAGGCAUUACUUCAUCAUAUGCCAAAGAUGACAGUAGAAAACACAAACUCUACUUUAGAGCCAGAAUCUUUGACUUGGCCAGCUUACCUCUAUCGAGACUUCAUGGUGUAUCCCUCAACAAUGCUAUGGAUUCUGAUAAUAUUAUAUUAUCCCCUUAUUGUUUCGUUCUCCAUGCUCUACGUGAGCAAUGCAUUCUUUUUUAUUUGUCGUAUGGUGGGUAACUUCCAAGAAGAGAGCAAACUAAAAGGGAAGCCAAGGCAAAUAACCUCAGUUCUGUC